rnacentral:rRNA from 1 species
AAGGGGCGGCAGCUACCAUGCAGUCGAGCGGCAGCGGAAAGUAGCUUGCUACUUUGCCGGCGAGCGGCGGACGGGUGAGUAAUGUCUGGGAAACUGCCUGAUGGAGGGGGAUAACUACUGGAAACGGUAGCUAAUACCGCAUAACGUCGCAAGACCAAAGAGGGGGACCUUCGGGCCUCUUGCCAUCAGAUGUGCCCAGAUGGGAUUAGCUAGUAGGUGGGGUAACGGCUCACCUAGGCGACGAUCCCUAGCUGGUCUGAGAGGAUGACCAGCCACACUGGAACUGAGACACGGUCCAGACUCCUACGGGAGGCAGCAGUGGGGAAUAUUGCACAAUGGGCGCAAGCCUGAUGCAGCCAUGCCGCGUGUAUGAAGAAGGCCUUCGGGUUGUAAAGUACUUUCAGCGGGGAGGAAGGUGUUGAGGUUAAUAACCUCAGCAAUUGACGUUACCCGCAGAAGAAGCACCGGCUAACUCCGUGCCAGCAGCCGCGGUAAUACGGAGGGUGCAAGCGUUAAUCGGAAUUACUGGGCGUAAAGCGCACGCAGGCGGUCUGUCAAGUCGGAUGUGAAAUCCCCGGGCUCAACCUGGGAACUGCAUUCGAAACUGGCAGGCUAGAGUCUUGUAGAGGGGGGUAGAAUUCCAGGUGUAGCGGUGAAAUGCGUAGAGAUCUGGAGGAAUACCGGUGGCGAAGGCGGCCCCCUGGACAAAGACUGACGCUCAGGUGCGAAAGCGUGGGGAGCAAACAGGAUUAGAUACCCUGGUAGUCCACGCCGUAAACGAUGUCGACUUGGAGGUUGUGCCCUUGAGGCGUGGCUUCCGGAGCUAACGCGUUAAGUCGACCGCCUGGGGAGUACGGCCGCAAGGUUAAAACUCAAAUGAAUUGACGGGGGCCCGCACAAGCGGUGGAGCAUGUGGUUUAAUUCGAUGCAACGCGAAGAACCUUACCUACUCUUGACAUCCAGAGAACUUUCCAGAGAUGGAUUGGUGCCUUCGGGAACUCUGAGACAGGUGCUGCAUGGCUGUCGUCAGCUCGUGUUGUGAAAUGUUGGGUUAAGUCCCGCAACGAGCGCAACCCUUAUCCUUUGUUGCCAGCGGUUAGGCCGGGAACU